UUCGUUUUUGUCUUUAUACUAGAACUGUUUGAAUUUAAAGCACAAACAGUAAAACAUUAAGGGUAUACAUGGUACACAGCGGUAAACAUGAGGUUAAAAAUACGCGAAGUAACAUUCAAACCGGGCUGUUAAAAGAAUCAAUUCGAUGUUUAAAUUUUUAAAAACAAAACUUUAAAGAAGCCAAGAUGAGACGUUCUUUGCUUAAAACAAACAUAACAACAGUAACUUGUGUGUUGGAAAUGUUAGCAGCUAGCAAGUGUCUCUCUGCUAUUUUAAAUGAUAAACAGACGAUCUUUUGUUGUUUAAAAGCUCAUUGCUUUAGUGCUGGUAGAUGCUGCUUAUUUUUCAAGACGGUUUUAAUAGCUUUAUAUUGAUUUGUAACAAAGCCAGCUUCACUUUGAGAGAACCUAGAUGCUAAUUGUAAAGAAGCUUGGAGUCAUAAUAUAUUUUAACGUAAUAUGUUUGCUGUUCUUCAUCUUUUUAAAUAUGAAGUCUAUCCAUGUUUGUGUUUACAGAGGUCAUGUACACUGUGGUCAACUUUGUGGACGCUGAAGAGGUUUCUGGGUAAACAUGAUUGAAAUAUAAUGAAGUAACAGUGGAAGUUAAAACAUCAGACUGAUCCAGACACUGAAGAAAUUGAUGUCACUGCAAUCUGGCCAAAAUGAUACAACUAUAUUGAAGUAGCCUACUGUAAUGAAGCUGCAGAACGUCACAGAGACUCUGAGGACAUCAACACAGAUAAUCAAGGCUCCAAAGAGAUGUCUGUCCAGAUGAGGGUGCAUCAACGUUACCUUUGCUGACAAGUAUAUGCUUUUAGCAGUUAACUUAACUCAAACCAUUUAAGGAAAUCGGUUGCCUUAAACCAUUAAGUUUUAAAAAACAUACAUUUGAGUACUGUGAACUAAAGUCUUGUGCAAUUAUGCACUUAUAUUUAGGUAGUGUGAACUUAAACAAAUUGAGUCACAUGCAGUUAUGCACUUAUAUUUAAGUUCACAGUACUCAAAUCUGUGUUUUAAAACUUGAAUGGUUUAAUGCAACCGGUUUUCUUAAAUGUGAGAAAUUACAGUGUUACAGUGAGAAAUGUUUGAAUAAUUCCAAGACAGAGCUCUGUGAUUAAUUCUCCACUGCAAAAAUCACUUUCUAACACUUUUUAUCUUGUUUUCAGUAGAAAAACUAAAAAUUCUUAAAUCAAGAUGUAUUUUCUUGAUGAGCAAAAUUACCUUAGAAAAUAUGUCUAGUUUUUAGACAAAAAUAUACAAUUUAAGAUAAUUUGUGCCUAAACAAGAAAAAUAUCUAAGUUUUUAAGAUAAAAGAAAACUUAAGAU